UCUCUUUCAAUUUCAUUACUGUUUUGGGGCUUGAAAGAUACUUUGUCACUCAUGAUAAUGUAUUUAGGUAUGAAAGAUACUUAAGUUUGCAGUGUUCGCAUCAUGAGAAAAAGAGUAUUUACUUAUAUCAUAAUGAAGCAAGUUUUUAAACUUACCCAUGACCCAAGUGUAUAGCUAAGACAUUAUAGAAAGAUAAUUCCAAGAAAUGAUGUUUGCACAUGUUGGACUUCUGAUCCUCUGUGAUUGUAACAUAACUGCUACUGAUCUUGGGAGAAACACUUAAUUUUUCAAUAUUUUAUAAAUUUAUGAUAUUUAUACCUGGUACCCUUUCUUCACCAGACACCCUACCAUGCCUACAAACCCCAAUGACAUUUAAAGAUUUCACCAUUCUCAAACAAUCACAUGGCAAAAAUCCAAAAAUAUUUCAAAUACCUGUUCAGUUGUAGCAAAUGUUAUUGCUGAUGCAAAUAGAAAGAUUUAUUUCCAAGUUUGACUAAUAUUGUGGUAACAUUCAUGAUUACAUAUGAAGGGAAUAGGUAAAGCAUGUUCUACAACAUACCAGGUUGCCAUUGUAUGACUUAGCUGGUGGUACUGCAUUUUGUGUCGGUGAAACAUUGAAUGUUACAAAAGCUUUAAUAUAACUUGUUGACUUAUAAAAUGGCACCCUAAAUAAGAUUCUAGCUUGCAACUUGCAUGUUCUUCUCAGUUGGUGCAGGUUAUUAUGAAGUAGUAAUGGUAGCAAAUACAUUAUUAUGAUAUUCCAAGAAAUGAUGUUUGCACAUGUUGGACUUCUGAUCCUCUGUGAUUGUAACAUACCUGCCACUGAUCUUGGACAAAUAUUGUAAAAAAUAAUCAAUAUUUAUUGACUUAUUAUAUCCAUACCCGGUACCUACUUUUGUUAAAGAUUUACAGAGAAAUUUGGCCUUUCAAUAAUUUCACCAAUCUCAAACAGUCAUAUAGAGAAGUAUUUGAUAAAAACAAAAUAAAUUUUGAGUUGCUUUUAAGUUGUAGCAAAUGGUGUAGAGAGAUUCAAUUUCCGAAUUGGGCUUAUGUGGUCACAUCUAUAUGAACGUAUUAAGUAAACCAGUUUAAACAUACCCGGUUUGCCAGAAUAUGACUCUACUUGUCUUACUGCACUUUGUCAGUCAAACAUUGAAUGUUGCAAAAGCUUUAAUAUUGCCUGUCAACUGUUAGAAAAAGGGCACACCCUAAGUAGGAUUGCAGCUUGCAUUUACUACUAAUCUUCAAGUGGUGCAAGUUAAUAUAAAGUAGUAACAGUAGCAGGCUACUGCAUUGUUCUGAUAUUCCAAGAAAUGAUGUUUGCACAUGUUGGACUUCUGAUCCUCUGUGAUUGUAACAUAUCCGCUACUGAUCUUGGAGAAAUAUACAUUUUUCAAUAUUUAUGAACCGAUAAUAUUAAAGCCAUGUACCUGAUUUUAUCCAAAGAAUUACAAACAAAAAGGGACUUCCAAAGAUUUCACCAUUCUCAAACGACCAUACAUGUAUUAAUCAUAAGCAGUACCCUGAAUACGUUUGUAGGUUUAACCUACUGCACAAGUGUUUUAAAUAUGUUGAAAGGCCAUCAAUUUUACCGAGCUGAAGAGAACAUAAUCCUAUCUUUACCAUGUUUAUCCUCGUUAUUUAUAGAUAUUGUAUAUAUAUGUUUCCAAGAAAUGAUGUUUGCACAUGUUGGACUUCUGAUCCUCUGUGAUUGUAACAUAUCCGCUACUGAUCUUGGAGAAAUAUACAUUUUUCAAUAUUUAUGAACCGAUAAUAUUAAUGCCAGGUACCUGAUUUUAUCCAAAGAAUUACAAACAAAAAGGGACUUCCAAAGAUUUCACCAUUCUCAAACGACCAUACAUGUAUUAAUCAUAAGCAGUACCCUGAAUACGUUUGUAGGUUUAACCUACUGCACAAGUGUUUUAAAUAUGUUGAAAGGCCAUCAAUUUUACCGAGCUGAAGAGAACAUAAUCCUAUCUUUACCAUGUUUAUCUUCGUUAUUUAUAGAUAUUGUAUAUAUAUGUUUCCAAGAAAUGAUGCUUGCGCAUGUUGGACUUCUGAUCCUCUGUGAUUGUAACAUAACCGCUACUGAUCUUGGACAAA